GGAGGGUUGCGAGCGUUGUUCGGAUUUACUGGGCGUAAAGGGAGCGCAGGCGGUUUGGUAAGUCGAAAGUGAAAAUCCGGGGGCUCAACUCCGGACUGGCUUUCGAUACUGCCCGACUAGAGUACGCGAGAGGAAAGUGGAAUUCCAGGUGUAGCGGUGAAAUGCGUAGAUAUCUGGAGGAACACCAGUGGCGAAAGCGGCUUUCUGGCGCGUUACUGACGCUGAGGCUCGAAAGCGUGGGGAGCGAACGGGAUUAGAUACCCCGGUAGUCCACGCCGUAAACGUUGUGCACUAGGUGUGGGAGGUAUUUGACCCCUCCCGUGCCGUAGCUAACGCAUUAAGUGCACCGCCUGGGGAGUACGGUCGCAAAGACUG
rnacentral:rRNA from 1 species